UAGUCCACGCCGUAAACGAUGAGUACUAGGUGUUGUGGGUAUUGACCCCCGCAGUGCCGACGCUAACGCAUUAAGUACUCCGCCUGGGAAGUACGGUCGCAAGAUUAAAACUCAAAGGAAUUGACGGGGGCCCGCACAAGCGGUGGAGCAUGUGGUUUAAUUCGAUGCAACGCGAAAAACCUUACCUGGGCUUAACAUCCCCGGACCGCUAUAGAAAUAUAGUUUUCUCUUCGGAGACCGGGUGAUAGGUGCUGCAUGGCUGUCGUCAGCUCGUAUCGUGAGAUGUCGGGUUAAGUCCCUUAACGAGCGCAACCCUUAUCCUUAGUUGCUACCAUUUAGUUGGGCACUCUAAGGAGACUGCCGGUGUUAAACCGGAGGAAGGUGGGGAUGACGUCAAGUCCUCAUGGCCCUUACGUCCAGGGCCACACACGUGCUACAAUGGCUGGUACAGAGGGUCGCCAACCCGCAAGGGGGAGCUAAUCUCAGAAAGCCAGUCUCAGUUCGGAUUGGAGUCUGCAAUUCGACUCCA
rnacentral:rRNA from 1 species